GGGCUGUUGGUCUAGCGGUAUGAUUCUCGCUUUGGGCUUAGUCCUGAUUAUGGACAGUUUUCUUGCGAGAGGUCCCGGGUUCAAUCCCCGGACAGCCCC